UAUCUUUGUAACAAAUAUGGUGGAAUUUUUCAUUUUUUGAGAAAUCCUUAAUAUGGGAAUCCGGUGCGAUACCGGAGCUGUACCCGCAGCUGUAAGCCUUAAAAAGCUUUUUCAACCCUCGCCACUGUCAUAAUUUAGUUGAUGGGAAGGCACGAAAAAGUAAGGUGAGCCAGAAGACCUGCCAAAUUUGAUUUUUAAAA
rnacentral:ncRNA from 2 species